GCGGGGGCGGGGCCGCGGCGCCUAUAAAGUCGCCCUCCGCCCGGACGUAAACAAACCUCGCCUGGCUCCCAGCUGGUGCUGAAGCUCGUCAGUUCACCAUCCGCCCUCGGCUUCCGCGGGGCGCUGGGCCGCCAGCCUCGGCACCGUCCUUUCCUUUCUCCCUCGCGUUAGACCAUCACCGGCCUCCUGCAAGAGUUUGAUGUCCAGGUUCCUGUACUACUGCCUUGUACUUUUCAUUUUGGCUCACCGUGGAUUUUCUCAUAGGAAGUUUGGUCAGAGUGAAUUGAAUAUUGUAAGUCAGCCACUGGGACCCGAGGAUUUCUGGGACCCCGCAGUUGGGAGGAGGAAGUAGUCCAGCCUUCCAGGUGGCGUGAGAGGCAAUGACUCGUUACCUGCCGCCCAUCACCUUGGAGGCCUUCCCUGGCCUUGAGUAGAAAAGUCGGGGAUCGGGGCAAGAGAGGCUGAGUACGGAUGGGAAACUAUUGUGCACAAGUCUUUCCAGAGGAGUUUCUUAAUGAGAUAUUUGUAUUUAUUUCCAGACCAAUAAAUUUGUAACUUUGCAGCGG
rnacentral:lncRNA from 1 species